UUUAUAUGUUCAUUGUAUAAAACAUUUAUUUAUAUGUGUAUGUAUAUAUUUUAAACUUUAUUUGUGCAACGUGUGUAUUAUAGUUAAAGCAAUGUAUUGAAUGAAUCAUAAUGUAUUCAUCCUUCAAUUAACCAAUUGGGGACAGAGAGAGCGAUAUAUAAACACCCCCAUAGGGUAGUGAAUGCAGAUGUCUCUGAGGAAGUAGGGCUAUUCCCUACGAAACGCGUCAGACAAGUCUGAGUCUACAGAUUGUUCACACAACGACGAG